rnacentral:rRNA from 1 species
GAUGAACGCUGGCGGCGUGCUUAACACAUGCAAGUCGAACGGUGAACCCGGAGCUUGCUCUGUGGGAUCAGUGGCGAACGGGUGAGUAACACGUGAGCAACCUGCCCCUGACUCUGGGAUAAGCGCUGGAAACGGCGUCUAAUACUGGAUAUGUGACGUGACCGCAUGGUCUGCGUUUGGAAAGAUUUUCGGUUGGGGAUGGGCUCGCGGCCUAUCAGCUUGUUGGUGAGGUAAUGGCUCACCAAGGCGUCGACGGGUAGCCGGCCUGAGAGGGUGACCGGCCACAUUGGGACUGAGACACGGCCCAGACUCCUACGGGAGGCAGCAGUGGGGAAUAUUGCACAAUGGGCGCAAGCCUGAUGCAGCAACGCCGCGUGAGGGAUGACGGCCUUCGGGUUGUAAACCUCUUUUAGCAGGGAAGAAGCGAAAGUGACGGUACCUGCAGAAAAAGCGCCGGCUAACUACGUG